GAUGAACGCUGGCGGCGUGCUUAACACAUGCAAGUCGAACGAACCUUCGGGUUAGUGGCGGACGGGUGAGUAACGCGUGAGAAUCUGCCCUCAGGAGGGGGACAACAGCUGGAAACGGCUGCUAAUACCCCAUAUGCCGCGAGGUGAAAUGAAUUUCGCCUGAGGAUGAGCUCGCGUCUGAUUAGCUAGUUGGUGUAGGUAAUGGCUCACCAAGGCAUCGAUCAGUAGCUGGUCUGAGAGGAUGAUCAGCCACACUGGGACUGAGACACGGCCCAGACUCCUACGGGAGGCAGCAGUGGGGAAUUUUCCGCAAUGGGCGAAAGCCUGACGGAGCAACGCCGCGUGAGGGAUGAAGGCCUCUGGGCUGUAAACCUCUUUUAUCAAGGAAGAAGAUCUGACGGUACUUGAUGAAUAAGCCACGGCUAAUCCGUGCCAGCCGCCGCCGUAAU
rnacentral:rRNA from 1 species